CUUGAAAAAAAAAAUUGGUCUAUUUAAAAGUAAAACAAUAUUUUAAAAUAAUUUUUGUUUGCAAUGCAAAAAUCAAUAUAAAUCUUGUGACGCGCGGUGUUCAACUUUAGUCAGCGCCAAGCGCUUAUCGAGGGAGGACGUAUCGCUCGCUGUUGCGCCGCGCAAACUCGCCGGAGCUCGAAAAAUAUAGCGCAACCUGCGCAACGAACUCGUUUUGAUACUAACUCAAUCGGAUACCAGUACAAAUAAUAUGGAAAAUGAAGAUACAAUACAUGGAAGACGAAUUAUAGAUUUUAGUUUUUUUAUAAAUCAAUUACUUAUACCUAAUUGAUAAACAUGGUGAAAAGUUUGGUUGUCGAUUAAAUAAUUUAAAAAUUGUAAACGA
rnacentral:lncRNA from 1 species